GAUGGGGCCACUGCACUUUAGCCUGGGCAACAGAGCAAGACUCUGUCUGAAAAAAAAAAAAGAAAAAGAAAAAAACAUUCCGGGUAUUAGGAUUUGCUUCCUGUUCUAUUAGGUUAUCUGUUCUCCCCUCUAACUUAAGGUAAUGUGUGGAAAACAGUGCCAUUCAGAUAUUGCUUAGGUAACUCUUAACAGGGCCUCAGCCUUUGGGGUUUUUAAACCAGUGAAACUGCCUUUAUACUGUUAGCAAGAACAGCAGACUCCCAUUAAAAAAAAUCUAUUACCCUAGUCAAAUUAUUCAUCUUUUAAAAGGCAUAGGGUUUGCUGUUUUUUUUUUAAAUGUUUAUCAUCUUGACUUUUUUUCUCUUGAAAAUUUUUGAAGACCAUUUCAAAAUGAUACAGGAUAUCAAAAUCUAUUUUCCCCUUCCUAAAUUAUUUCUCAAACAAUGUAUUCAUCAGAUUUCUAUGUGUGAUGAUGUACGUAGCAGUCACUAACAGAACCUCAGUGCACUUUUUGGUUAGAUAUUCCACGCCAAACAGCUAAAAUCAACUGCUUUUGGGGCUGUUAAAGUUACAAGAUCUGUAUAAAAAUGCAAGACACAUUAAUAAAUUAAAUUUUGGCGGCCAAUUCAUGAUACAGCUCUUUUAUCUCCAGAUUCUGAGACUGAAAAUAUAACUUGAUCAAUCUAUUGAAUUACUGUAAUAAAACAAUUACUCCCUUAGAA